rnacentral:rRNA from 1 species
GACGAACGCUGGCGGCGUGCUUAACACAUGCAAGUCGAACGGAAAGGCCCUGCUUGCAGGGUACUCGAGUGGCGAACGGGUGAGUAACACGUGGGUGAUCUGCCCUGCACUUCGGGAUAAGCCUGGGAAACUGGGUCUAAUACCGGAUAGGAGCCAUUUUUAGUGUGAUGGUUGGAAAGUUUUUUUCGGUGUAGGAUGAGCUCGCGGCCUAUCAGCUUGUUGGUGGGGUAAUGGCCUACCAAGGCGGCGACGGGUAGCCGGCCUGAGAGGGUGGACGGCCACAUUGGGACUGAGAUACGGCCCAGGCUCCUACGGGAGGCAGCAGUGGGGAAUAUUGCACAAGGGGCGCAAGCCUGAUGCAGCGACGCCGCGUGGGGGAUGACGGCCUUCGGGUUGUAAACUCCUUUCGCUAGGGACGAAGCUUUUUGUGACGGUACCUAGAUAAGAAGCACCGGCUAACUACGUG